ACCCGAUACGAACGCUUCAAAGAUAUAGGGGCUUAUAGCUCAGGUGGUUAGAGCGCACCCCUGAUAAGGGUGAG
rnacentral:tRNA from 1 species